GGGGCUGUAGCUCAGUGGUAGAGCAUUUGCCUAGCAUGCGUGAGGCACUGGGUUCAAUCCUCAGCACCA
rnacentral:tRNA from 1 species